GACCUGUAAAAUAAGGGGAAAAUGAAGACUCUGCUGCCCUCCGAAGGCAGAGGCCAUAGGUUCGAAUCCUAUCGGGUGCGCCA
rnacentral:tRNA from 1 species